CAUGCACACCCCAUGCACCCCAUGCAUGCACACACCCCAUAUCCACGUGCACCCCAUGCACCCCAUGCACGCACACACCCCAUAGCCUUGCACACCCCAUGCACCCUGUGCACGCACACACCCCAUAUCCACAUGCACCCCAUGCACCCCAUGCACGCGCACCCCAUGCAUGCGCACCCCACGCACCCCGUGCAUGCACACACCCCAUAGCCAUGCACACCCCAUGCAUCCCGUGCAUGCACACACCCCAUAUCCACAUGCACCCCAUGCACCCCAUGCAUGCACACACCCCAUAGCCUUGCACACCCCAUGCACCCCAUGCAUGCACACACCCCAUAUCCACAUGCACCCCAUGCAUGCACACACCCCGUAUCCAUAUGCACCCCAUGCAUGCACACACCCCAUAGCCAUGCACACCCCAUGCAUCCCGUGCAUGCACACGCCCCAUAUCCCUAUGCACCCCAUGCAUGCACACACCCCAUAGCCAUGCACACCCCAUGCACCCCAUGCAUGCACACACCCCAUAUCCACAUGCACCCCAUGCACGCACACACCCCAUAUCCGUAUGCACCCCAUGCAUGCACCCCAUGCACCCCAUGCAUGCACACACCCCAUAGCCAUGCACACCCCAUGCACCCCGUGCAUGCACACACCCCAUAUCCACGUGCACCCCAUGCACCCCAUGCAUGCACACACCCCAUAGCCAUGCACACCCCAUGCACCCCAUGCACGCACACACCCCAUAGCCAUGCACACCCCAUUCAUCCCGUGCAUGCACACACCCCAUAUCCACAUGCACCCCAUGCAUGCACACACCCCGUAUCCAUAUGCAUCCCAUGCAUGCACACACCCCAUAGCCACGCACACCCCAUGCACCCUGUGCAUGCACACACCCCAUAUCCACGUGCACCCCAUGCACCCCGUGCAUGCACACACCCCAUAUCCAUAUGCACCCCGUGCAUGCACCCCAUGCACCCCAUGGAUGCACACACCCCAUAUCCACAUGCACCCCAUGCACCCCAUGCAUGCACACACCCCAUAGCCACGCACACCCCAUGCAUGCACCCCAUGCACCCCAUGCGUGCACACACCCCAUAUCCAUGCACACCCCAUGCACCCCAUGCAUGCACACACCCCAUAUCCACAUGCACCCCAUGCACCCCGUGCGUGCACACACCCCAUAUCCAUGCACACCCCAUGCACCCCAUGCAUGCACACACCCCAUAUCCACGCACACCCCGUGCACCCUACACCCAUGCACACCCCACGCCGACCCCACACCCACCCCUGCCCCACACAGACCCCAUCGCCACCGGUUCCCGCUGCCGAGCGCGGCCCCGUUUCCCACGUGGUGCUGCUCCCUCCCUGCGCCCCAUAGAUAACGCCCCGUGCUGCUGCUAUGGGGUGAUAGUGGGGGGCUGCAACUGUCACCGGGGCUGGGAGCCCCCACCUGCCCUCCCCCCGUUUGUGGGGCCGGUCCCAAUGUCCCCAUGGGCAGAGGUUGUGGCUUUGGGGUCCUGGCUUUGGGGUCCUAACUUUGGGGUCCUGGCUUUGGGGUCAUGCUGUGGGGUGGUGGCCUUGGGGUGCCCCCGGCGCUGAGCACCGUGUCCCGCUGUAGAUGGGUGCGCGAGUUCCUCAAUGACGAGAACAAGGGGCUGGACGUGCUGGUGAACUACCUGUCCUUCGCCCAGUGCGCCGUCAUGUGAGUGGGGGC
ensembl:lncRNA